rnacentral:rRNA from 1 species
CCAGACUCCUACGGGAGGCAGCAGUGAGGAAUAUUGGUCAAUGGCCGAGAGGCUGAACCAGCCAAGUCGCGUGAGGGAAGACGGCCCUACGGGUUGUAAACCUCUUUUGUCGGGGAGCAAAGCGAGUCACGUGUGACUCAUUGAGAGUACCCGAAGAAAAAGCAUCGGCUAACUCCGUGCCAGCAGCCGCGGUAAUACGGAGGAUUCAAGCGUUAUCCGGAUUUAUUGGGUUUAAAGGGUGCGUAGGCGGUUCGAUAAGUUAGAGGUGAAAUCCCGGGGCUCAACUCCGGCACUGCCUCUGAUACUGUCGGGCUAGAGUUUAGUUGCGGUAGGCGGAAUGUAUGGUGUAGCGGUGAAAUGCAUAGAGAUCAUACAGAACACCGAUUGCGAAGGCAGCUUACCAAACUACGACUGACGUUGAGGCACGAAAGCGUGGGGAGCAAACAGGAUUAGAUACCCUAGUAGUA